UUUUUUUAGUACAAAAGUACAGGUGACUUCCAAUCAUCAAGUUCUGGUUUAAGUCCAGGAGAAAAUAA
rnacentral:tRNA from 1 species